GACGAACGCUGGCGGCGUGCUUAACACAUGCAAGUCGAACGGAAAGGCCCCUUUGUGGGUACUCGAGUGGCGAACGGGUGAGUAACACGUGAGUAACCUGCCCUUGACUUCGGGAUAACUUCAGGAAACUGGGGCUAAUACCGGAUAGGAAUCCUUGCUGCAUGGUGGGGGUUGGAAAGCUUCGGCGGUUUUUGAUGUACUCGCUGCUUAUCAGCUUGUUGGUGGGGUAGUGGCUUACCAAGGCGUUGACGGGUAGCCGGACUGAGAGGGCGACCGGCCACAUUGGGACUGAGAGACGGCACAGACUCCUACGCGAGGCAGAAGUGGGGAAUAUUGCAGAAUGGGCGGAAGCCUGAUGCAGAAAGGCCGCGUGCGGGAUGACGGCCUUCGGGUUGUAAAACGAUUUCAGCAGGGGCGAAGCUUGUGGUGACGGUACCUGCAGAAGAAGCAACGGCUAACUACGUG
rnacentral:rRNA from 1 species